rnacentral:rRNA from 1 species
CAGGUCACUCCUACGGGAGGCAGCAGUGGGGAAUUUUGCGCAAUGGGGGAAACCCUGACGCAGCAACGCCGCGUGGAGGAUGAAGUCCCUUGGGAUGUAAACUCCUUUCGACCCGGACGAUACUGACGGUACGGGUGGAAGAAGCACCGGCUAACUACGUGCCAGCAGCCGCGGUAAUACGUAGGGUGCGAGCGUUAAUCGGAAUUACUGGGCGUAAAGCGUGCGCAGGCGGUUUUGUAAGUCAGAUGUGAAAUCCCCGGGCUCAACCUGGGAACUGCGUUUGAAACUACAAGGCUAGAGUAUGGCAGAGGGGGGUAGAAUUCCACGUGUAGCAGUGAAAUGCGUAGAGAUCGGGAGGAACACCGGUGGCGAAGGCGGGUCUCUGGGCAAUUCCUGACGCUGAGGCGCGAAAGCGUGGGGAGCAAACGGGAUUAGAUACCCUGGUAGUCCACGCCCUAAACGAUGUCUACUAGUUGUUGGGAGAGUAAAAUCUCUUAGUAACGCAGCUAACGCGUGAAGUAGACCGCCUGGGGAGUACGGUCGCAAGAUUAAAACUUAAAGGAAUUGACG